CAGCCGCCACGGGAAUACGUAGGUGGCAAGCGUUGUCCGGAAUUAUUGGGCGUAAAGCGCGCGCAGGCGGCCUAUCCAGUCUGUCUUAAAAGUUCGGGGCUCAACCCCGUGAUGGGAUGGAAACUAGUAGGCUAGAGUAUCGGAGAGGAAAGCGGAAUUCCUAGUGUAGCGGUGAAAUGCGUAGAUAUUAGGAAGAACACCAGUGGCGAAGGCGGCUUUCUGGACGAAAACUGACGCUGAGGCGCGAAGGCCAGGGGAGCGAACGGGAUUAGAUACCCCAGUAGUCCCUGUCUCUUAUACA
rnacentral:rRNA from 1 species